GGUCAUCACCACAACAAAAUCAGCCAAAAUGGCUGUCUUUAAGUUUUUAAAAAUAAAGGCCUUCAGAGGGAAAACAUUACAGUAAGAAGCUAAGCUUGUUAGAUGCUAUUUCCCCAACCGGGGAUCAGAGGCAAUCCCCCUGCAGCGGAGGAGGGGACUCCACCGGACCACCGGGGAAAGCUCACAUAAGGAUACACGACCGAGCUCUGCAGGAGCCGUGGCCCCACCAGGACUUCUAACUGAGAAACACCGUCCUGGGGUGAAGCCCACGGUGGCUGUGACGGUGGAACGGACCCCCGCAAGCUCCCAUCCUGAACAACUGGUAACUACGCAGAGCAGCUGCAGCGGCAGUUUGCAGGACUGAACCACAGGCAGCACAAAGACAGGAGGGAAAAUCACAAGAGGAGCCCCUGCCCUUCACCACUUCCCUUCUUCCUGGCGACAGUUCCCCAAACACCACACAGCAGCUGGAACCCAGGCGGAGCCCCAAGGGCCUGCCUUUGGGCAGCAGAAAUGUCUGGAAGCGCCAGAGGGGCAUUCUCCCUGGCCAAGCCUCCGAUCUCGGUGCCUCAGCUUCCUCAUCUGUGACAGCGAGAUAAAAAGACCAUCAACUUCAUAAGACCAUUAUGAGGCUUAAAUAACCAAGUUAAAAUAUGCAGAAGCAUCAAAACCUUUAUACGGCGUGUGCUAAGGGCAACAUGUCUACCCUUUCAGUCCAGUCACUCAGUCGUGUCCGACUCUUUGCAACCCCAUGGACUGCAGCACGCCAGGCCUCCCUGUCCAUCACCAACUCUCGGAGUUUACUCAAACUCAUGUCCAUUGAGUCGGUGAUGCCAUCCAACCAUCUCAUCCUCUGUCGUCCCCUUCUCCUCCUGCCUUCAAUCUUUGCCAGAAUCAGGGUCUUUUCCAAUGAGUCAGUUCUUCACAUCAGGUAGACAAAGUAUUGCAGCUUCAGCUUCAGCAUCACUCCUUCCAAUGAAUAUUCAGGACUGAUCUCCUUUAGGAUGGACUGGUUGGAUCUCCUUGCAGUCCAAGGGACUCUCAAGAGUCUCCUUCAACACCACAGUUCAAAAGCAUCAAUUCUUCAGCACUCAGCUUUCUUUAUGGUCCAACUCACAUCCAUACAUGACCACUGGAAAUAGCAUAGCUUUGACUAAACGGACCUCUGUUGGCAAAGUAACGUCUCUGCUUUUUAAUAUGUUGUCUAGAUUGGUCAUAACUUUCCUUCCAAGGAGUAAGUGUCUUUUAAUUUCAUGGCUGUAAUCACCAUCUGCAGGGAUUUUGGAGAACAAGAAAAUAAAGUCUGUCGCUAUUUCCACUGUUUCCCCAUCUAUUUGCCAUGAAGUGAUGGGACCAGAUGCCAUGAUCUUCAUUUUCUGAAUGUUGAGUUUUAAGCCAGCUUUUUCACUCUCCUCUUUCACUUUCAUCAAGAGGCUCUUUAGUUCCUCUUUGCUUUCUGCCAUAAGGGUGGUGUCAUCUGCAUAUCUAAGGUUAUUGAUAUUUCUCCCGGCAAUCCUGAUUCCAGCUUAUGCUUCCUCCAGCCCAGGGUAUCUCAUGAUGUACUCUGCAUAUAAGUUAAAUAAGCAGGGUGACAAUAUACAGCCUUGAUGAACUCCUUCCAGAUUUGGAGCCAGUCCAUUGUUCCAUGUCUGGUUCUAACUGUUGCUUCCUGACCUGCAUGCAGGUUUCUCAGGAGGCAGGCCAGGUGGUCCAGUAUUCCCUUUACAUUUUCAGUGAAGAUAUGCUAAGUA
ensembl:lncRNA